AGCCCAGGGGCCAACAGACGCCACAGGGGUCUCCUGAGGACAGAGGGCGAGACGCCCACCCCAUAAGUAGCGCCAACAAGUGACUCACCAUGAUGAGAGCCGUGUCGCUGAAGCCUUCGGCAAUCCUGGAGGCCACCUUCUCUGCGACCUGGUUUGGACUAAAGAGAGGAGCCGGUCAGUUCUCCAGGUCCCCACCAGAGAGGAGCCGGUCAGUUCUCCAGGUCCCCAGAGAGGAGCCGGUCAGUUCUCCAGGUCCCCAGAGGGGAGCUGGUCAGUUCUCCAGGUCCCCACCAGAGAGGAGCCGGUCAGUUCUCCAGGUCCCCACCAGAGAGGAGCUGGUCAGUUCUCCCAGGUCCUGGUUAAGGCCGCUCAGCGCUGUCCACGGCAGCAAGUGGGCACCAAGAAAGACUGCCAGGCCCG